rnacentral:rRNA from 1 species
CCUACGGGAGGCAGCAGUGAGGAAUAUUGGUCAAUGGGCGCGAGCCUGAACCAGCCAAGCAGCGUGAAGGAUGACUGCCCUACGGGUUGUAAACUUCUUUUAUAAAGGAAUAAAGUGAGGCACGUGUGCCUUUUUGUAUGUACUUUAUGAAUAAGGAUCGGCUAACUCCGUGCCAGCAGCCGCGGUAAUACGGAGGAUCCGAGCGUUAUCCGGAUUUAUUGGGUUUAAAGGGAGCGUAGAUGGGUUGUUAAGUCAGUUGUGAAAGUUUGCGGCUCAACCGUAAAAUUGCAAUUGAUACUGGCAGACUUGAGUACAGGAGAGGUAGGCGGAAGUCGGGGUGUAGGGGUGAAAUGCUUAGAUAUCACGAAGAACUCCGAUUGCGAAGGCAGCUUACCAAACUGGCACUGACAUUGAGGCUCGAAAGUGUGGGGAUCAAACAGGAUUAGAUACCCUAGUAGUC